GAUGAAGAACGUAGCGAAAUGCGAUACGUAAUGUGAAUUGCAGAAUUCAGUGAAUCAUCGAGUCUUUGAACGCACAUUGCGCCCCCUGGUAUUCCGGGGGCAUGCCUGUCCGAGCGUCAUUGCUGCCCUCAAGCACGGCUUGUGUGUUGGGCCUCCGUCCUCCUCCCGGGGGACGGGCCCGAAAGGCAGCGGCGGCACCGCGUCCGGUCCUCGAGCGUAUGGGGCUUCGUCACCCGCUCUUGUAGGCCCGGCCGGCGCUUGCCGACACAUCAAUCUUUUUUCCAGGUUGACCUCGGAUCAGGUAGGGAUACCCGCUGAACUUAAGCAUAUCGAUAAGCGGAGGA
rnacentral:misc_RNA from 1 species